AACGAACGCUGGCGGCAUGCCUAACACAUGCAAGUCGAACGAGACCUUCGGGUCUAGUGGCGCACGGGUGCGUAACGCGUGGGAACCUGCCCUUAGGUUCGGAAUAACUCCCCGAAAGGGGUGCUAAUACCGGAUAAUGUCUUCGGACCAAAGAUUUAUCGCCUUUGGAUGGGCCCGCGUUGGAUUAGCUAGUUGGUAGGGUAAAAGCCUACCAAGGCGACGAUCCAUAGCUGGUCUGAGAGGAUGAUCAGCCACGCUGGGACUGAGACUCGGCCCAGACUCCUACGGGAGGCAGCAGUGGGGAAUAUUGGACAAUGGGCGAAAGCCUGAUCCAGCAAUGCCGCGUGAGUGAUGAAGGCCUUAGGGUUGUAAAGCUCUUUUACCCGGGAUGAUAAUGACAGUACCGGGAGAAUAAGCUCCGGCUAACUCCGUG
rnacentral:rRNA from 1 species